rnacentral:rRNA from 1 species
GUAGGUGGCAAGCGUUGUCCGGAAUUAUUGGGCGUAAAGCGCGCGCAGGCGGUUCUUUAAGUCUGAUGUGAAAGCCCACGGCUCAACCGUGGAGGGUCAUUGGAAACUGGAGAACUUGAGUACAGAAGAGGAAAGCGGAAUUCCACGUGUAGCGGUGAAAUGCGUAGAGAUGUGGAGGAACACCAGUGGCGAAGGCGGCUUUCUGGUCUGUAACUGACGCUGAGGCGCGAAAGCGUGGGGAGCAAACAGGAUUAGAUACCCUGGUAGUCCACGCCGUAAACGAUGAGUGCUAAGUGUUAGGGGGUUUCCGCCCCCCUUAGCGCUGCAGCUAACGCAUUAAGCACUCCGCCUGGGAGUACGGCCGCGAGGCUG